UUGCUUCAUAAGUAAUUAAGGCCCUUUAUACAAAGGGCGUCUCAGAUCCUCCAGGCAAUCUGAGAAAGGAUAUAAAUACACUUUCCGUGCAAGGUUCUUCUCACUACUUCUCUUGACUUGUUCUCUGCGGUACACUGAGACCCCCCCUCCGCAGCCAGGCGAUGGCUUCCGAGCAGCUGGCGUGCAGCAACCCCUGCGAGGCGAAGUGCCCCCAGCCCCUGGCCGCCAGCAGCAACGAGCCCUGCGUGGUGGCCUGCGGUGACUCCCGGGUGAUCAUCUACCCACCACCCGUCGUCGUCACCUUCCCAGGGCCCAUCCUCACCACCUACCCUCAGCAAACGGUGGUGGGAGCCUCGGAGCCCUCCGAGGUGGCCCUAGCAGAGCCCCCCGCUGCAGCCCCCCUGCCAGCAGAGGCCCAGGGGAGGCUGGAGGCUGCAGUGGAGAAACUCACCCCACAGGUCAUCACCCGCCCAGAGCCUCGGUGUGCUCCCAAAUACUCCUACACAUAUUCUUCCCAAUGGACACAUCCGUGCAACUCGUACCGCUCUGGGAAACGGUGGACAUACUGAGCUGAGAUGCAGAGUGGCUUUGGGUAGCUCAAGCCCCUGGCGAUGCAGGAGGGCUGAGCGGCCAGGCAGGAGCUCAGCACUGGGCAUCGCCUGGCUCCAGCUGGAGAAGGAGAGCUGCGAACGCUCAGCACCUGUGAGAGACAGCUCAUGUGUGCAGUUUCUCCUUUUGCCUUUAGCUUAGGUUUGUUAGCCUCUGGCUUUCUGGUUUAGUCAUCUGCUUACGUUGUGCUUUGUUUUACUUCAGUUACAUUAUUGACACUGAGUUUAGAGAGGUGACUUAGGAUGCUAGAAAUUGCACACAGCAACUGCACCGAGGGAGGAAAAAAAAAAACAUUUUUUUAUAGGUUGCAUCACUUUGGGUCCUGGUGAUAAACCAGACCCCAGUGAACCCCCAGAAAGAUAAUCUUUAUAUUAUGUACAAUUUUGUUCCAGAAUUGUAGAAAAGCUGUCUCCUUCCAAAUAAAUUUUCUAUACCAAACUA